GAGGAAUAUUGCGCAAUGGGGGCAACCCUGACGCAGCGACGCCGCGUGGAUGAUGAAGGCCUUCGGGUCGUAAAAUCCUGUCAGAUGGAAAGAAGUGUUAUGUGGAUAAUACCCAUGUAGCUUGACGGUACCAUCGAAGGAAGCACCGGCUAACUCCGUGCCAGCAGCCGCGGUAAUACGGAGGGUGCAAGCGUUGUUCGGAAUUACUGGGCGUAAAGCGCGCGUAGGCGGUUUUAUAAGUCAGAUGUGAAAGCCCAUGGCUUAACCAUGGACGUGCAUUUGAAACUGUGAGACUUGAGUAUUGGAGGGGGUGGUGGAAUUCCCGGUGUAGAGGUGAAAUUCGUAGAUAUCGGGAGGAAUACCAGUGGCGAAGGCGACCACCUGGCCAAAUACUGACGCUAAUGUGCGAAAGCGUGGGGAGCAAAC
rnacentral:rRNA from 1 species